UAUAGAAAUGCAGUAGCACCAAGGUGAUGUAUCCGACUCCUCUCAAAGAAUGAUAUAGACUCCCUACCCUAUUCCAAAUAUCCAAAUUGGGUAAACGGGAAAACCCAACACCUUGGGAGGAUGGAUGGUGUCGCCGACGGAA
rnacentral:ribozyme from 1 species